rnacentral:lncRNA from 1 species
CAAAAAAAGUCAUCGCAAAAAAAAGGCCACUCGUGCCUUAUCCAUCUCGCUCCGACCACUCGUGCCUCCACGCCGCUUGAUCCACCCCGACGCCGCCCUUGAUCUUCGCCGCCGCCGCCCCCUUCUGCGCCGGCGCCGCCCUCGCCCGGGCCGCAUCGUGGCGUUCCCGCCCUGCACCGCGCGCCCCCGUCCCCGCCCUGCACCGCGCGCCCCCGUCUCCGCUCCGCACCACCGCCGUCCUUCCCCGUCCCGCACCGCCGCCGUCCGUCCCCGCCCUGCACUGCCGCCGGCCGUCCCCGCCCGCCCCGCAUCGCCGUCGGCCGUCCCCGCCCGGCCCCAUCCCCGCACCGGCCCGGUCGUCCCUGCCCCCUUCCCGGCCCCGUCAUCCACACCCCCUUCCUGCCCCGCAGCUGCUGGUGAGGUGGCCGUGGCCGCGGCUCCGGCGGUCCGGCGCCCCCUUGCCGGCCCUCUGCUACUGGUGAGCACCGGCUCCGGCGGUCCGGCGUCCUCUGCUACUGAUUUUUUCCUUUUUUAGCCUUUUACCUGCUGUUAGUGCUUGGAUAAUGAGUCAAUUUGAUAUAUACCUAGUGUUAGUGCUUGGAUAUAUACAUAUUGUUAGUUUUUUACCUACUGUUAGUGCUUGGAUAUAUAAUAAGUCAAUUUGGUGCUUUGAUAUAUAUAUAUAUACUGUUAGUAUUUGGAUAUUUUACAUCGAUUUGGAAUAGCACUACAGCAGCUUUAGUUUUUCAUCACGAAAAAGUAAAGAAAUAUGGUGUGGUGUGUGCACAGGAGAAGCUAGGGACUAGAGAGCAUUGGCAAGACCCAAAUUUUACAUCGAUUUGGACCUCCUAUUAGUCACAGUAGUUUACUUGCUUGGAGUUUUCAUUAUGGCUGUCUCCCAAUAUACAAAUGUACCAAGUUUGAUUACCAAGUUAAGAUUACUUAUAUAAUAUAUAAUGAUAUGUAUACUUCCACGACGAUGAGAUGAUAUAUAUACUUUUGCCACGGUGGAUUAGCAUUCUUUAUUGUGUCGCAUCUUCGUGAUGAGUGGUUUUUUGUUCAUGAUGGUCUUGCUACAAAAUAAUGAUGAAUCUUUUUUGACACUUGAUGAUCUAAGUUUUUUUGACACUUGAUGAUCUAAGUUUUUUUGUUGGUAAAAUUUACAGGCUUUCUGGUGUUGCAUAUCUUUGGAGUCAUCGUCAUCGAAGGCAUUGGUCUGUGAUUUCGUCGCUGUUUGACUACUUCGUCUACAGUCGAGGGUGAGCUACGAAUCCAUCUUAAUAAUCAUGUCUGUGUUCAAAUUUCGAUGGUUCGAUCCGCGGGAGGGGGUAAAACAUACGCCUUCCAUUGGUUUGGUCGAAGUUAAACCAUCAACCGUCUACGCCGGAGCCGAUCUCUUCAUUGCGGCUACCCAAGCUACACAAGUAUAUUAUCUGCCUUACCCAUGCCAGAAAGAGUACCUAAAGGGUUGGGAAGUUGUGUUCAAGGUGUCGCCACAUGGUAAGCUACCGAACCCGAAUGAAGACGAUUACUACAACAUUAACCCCAUGACAUACGAGGGAGUGUUCUAUCAAGAGCAACCUGAUGAUGAUGAUGUGGUUAGAAACGAUGACGCUAGACCAUUGGGUGAUGAUGAUGUGGAUCCAAACGAUGACGAUGCACGGAAUGAUGGUGAGACCAUUGUCAAUGAAAAUGACAUACUUAUGCUAGAAAAGCUAAACGAAGAUGCUGACGACGAGGAAGAGCCUCCACCUCCGUCAGAUAACGAAGAUGAUAUGAUUGAUAGUGAUGAUGAGACCGACCAAGAAAGAGGUUACAACAGUGAUGAUUCAUAUGGGUUCUAGCAGAUGUAUGUUUCAAGUCUUUUUUCUAUGGUUUAGGAAUAUGCCUUUUUAUGCUUUUUAUUAAUGUGUUUAUUAUUCCUUAUUAUUAUGCCUUUUCCUUCAUUUUUAAUGUACUAAUUGUUUAUUCUCUUUUCAAUGCAGGUUUGUGGAACAUGGGCAAGGGGAAGGCUGACGGCGUGGGUUUCCUACGCAAGGUCGUCAACAAGCCUAGGCUUCGGCGGACUUGGCGGUGGUGGUGGAUGUCCUGGCGCUUAAGCCUUUGGGUGACCGUGGUGGUGAUCAUAAACUUGUGGUCUUUAGAUGACUUGUGGUCUUUUAGAUGACUUGUGAUCUUUUAGAUGACUUGUGUGCUUCUUUAGAUGCUUAUGUUUGUGAUGAUGGUUAUGUUUGUCAUGAUACUUAUAUUGUUGUGAUGGUGUUUGUUGUGAGGAUGAUACUUAUAUAUGUUGUGUAUGUCUAUUUCAUCAUAUAUAUAUGCUGUGAAUUUGAAUUGAAACCAAA